AGAGUUUGAUCCUGGCUCAGGAUGAACGCUGGCGGCGUGCCUAAUACAUGCAAGUCGAGCGAACGGACGAGAAGCUUGCUUCUCUGAUGUUAGCGGCGGACGGGUGAGUAACACGUGGAUAACCUACCUAUAAGACUGGGAUAACUUCGGGAAACCGGAGCUAAUACCGGAUAAUAUUUUGAACCGCAUGGUUCAAAAGUGAAAGACGGUCUUGCUGUCACUUAUAGAUGGAUCCGCGCUGCAUUAGCUAGUUGGUAAGGUAACGGCUUACCAAGGCAACGAUGCAUAGCCGACCUGAGAGGGUGAUCGGCCACACUGGAACUGAGACACGGUCCAGACUCCUACGGGAGGCAGCAGUAGGGAAUCUUCCGCAAUGGGCGAAAGCCUGACGGAGCAACGCCGCGUGAGUGAUGAAGGUCUUCGGAUCGUAAAACUCUGUUAUUAGGGAAGAACAUAUGUGUAAGUAACUGUGCACAUCUUGACGGUACCUAAUCAGAAAGCCACGGCUAACUACGUGCCAGCAGCCGCGGUAAUACGUAGGUGGCAAGCGUUAUCCGGAAUUAUUGGGCGUAAAGCGCGCGUAGGCGGUUUUUUAAGUCUGAUGUGAAAGCCCACGGCUCAACCGUGGAGGGUCAUUGGAAACUGGAAAACUUGAGUGCAGAAGAGGAAAGUGGAAUUCCAUGUGUAGCGGUGAAAUGCGCAGAGAUAUGGAGGAACACCAGUGGCGAAGGCGACUUUCUGGUCUGUAACUGACGCUGAUGUGCGAAAGCGUGGGGAUCAAACAGGAUUAGAUACCCUGGUAGUCCACGCCGUAAACGAUGAGUGCUAAGUGUUAGGGGGUUUCCGCCCCUUAGUGCUGCAGCUAACGCAUUAAGCACUCCGCCUGGGGAGUACGACCGCAAGGUUGAAACUCAAAGGAAUUGACGGGGACCCGCACAAGCGGUGGAGCAUGUGGUUUAAUUCGAAGCAACGCGAAGAACCUUACCAAAUCUUGACAUCCUUUGACAACUCUAGAGAUAGAGCCUUCCCCUUCGGGGGACAAAGUGACAGGUGGUGCAUGGUUGUCGUCAGCUCGUGUCGUGAGAUGUUGGGUUAAGUCCCGCAACGAGCGCAACCCUUAAGCUUAGUUGCCAUCAUUAAGUUGGGCACUCUAAGUUGACUGCCGGUGACAAACCGGAGGAAGGUGGGGAUGACGUCAAAUCAUCAUGCCCCUUAUGAUUUGGGCUACACACGUGCUACAAUGGACAAUACAAAGGGCAGCGAAACCGCGAGGUCAAG
rnacentral:rRNA from 3 species